rnacentral:rRNA from 1 species
UCUUGCAAACUAAAGAUGGCGACCGGCGCACGGGUGAGUAACACGUAUCCAACCUGCCGAUAACUCGGGGAUAGCCUUUCGAAAGAAAGAUUAAUAUCCGAUAGUAUAUUAAAACCGCAUGGUUUUACUAUUAAAGAAUUUCGGUUAUCGAUGGGGAUGCGUUCCAUUAGUUUGUUGGCGGGGUAACGGCCCACCAAGCCUUCGAUGGAUAGGGGUUCUGAGAGGAAGGUCCCCCACAUUGGAACUGAGACACGGUCCAA